rnacentral:misc_RNA from 1 species
UGGUUCUGGCAUCGAUGAAGAACGCAGCGAAAUGCGAUAAGUAAUGCGAAUUGCAGAAUUCAGUGAGUCAUCGAAUCUUUGAACGCACAUUGCGCCCUUUGGUAUUCCGAAGGGCAUGCCUGUUCGAGCGUCAUUAUUAAACCCUCAAGCUUGGCUUGUUGUUGGACCCCCUGUCGCCAGGUGACAGGUCCCAAAGAUAAUAACUGGUGUCGUGAGACUCUAUAUGCAACGAGCUUAUCAUAGCACGCAUCUAGGAGUGACCAGGCCCCGGUAUAACCCCAUUAUUCUCCAGGUUGACCUCGGAUCAGGUAGGAAUACCCGCUGA